UAUUUUGUUACGGUCCUUUAUUUACGGUACGGUUUAUAACUAUGGGAUUAUUUGAGGAACCAGUUACGAGAUUUUGUAAUGCUGAGAAAUCAGGCACAAGAAACCGAUAUACCUAAGGCUAAGAUAGUGCCAGCAGCCGCGGUCAUACUACCUUAUGGAGUAAAUAAUAUAAGUGAAAUGAGACUAAUAAUAGUAUACUAUUAUAGUGAAAUAUAUUUAAUAUAAUUACCAAAAUAAGUUUUAUUACCACAAAUACCUCUACCAAACAAGGAUUAGAUACCCUUCUAUGAAGUAAGUAAAAAUUUUCACUGGGUAUUAAAGUAAACAUAACCCAAACUCAAAUAACAUGGCGGUAAUUUUAAAGCUUAGGGGAACUUACCCCAUAAAUGAUAACCACCAAGCGAAGCUACUUUAAGUUAAAUUUUGUAUGCCGUCGUCUAGGUCAAAUAUAGUAUUUGAUCUAUAAGUAUAUAUACUCUAUGACAGAUCUUGGUGCAGACCAUCUUAAAGAUAGGGCGAGUUACAAUAAUAAUUUAUAUUCUAUUGGUCUAUUUAUAAAACCUAAAUAGUUGGACUUAAUAGUAAGGUAUAUUAUCAUUAAUAUCUGAAUCUUAAUAAAAUUGUGC
rnacentral:ncRNA from 1 species